GGCAGGGUGGUCUAAUGGAAAGAGCUUGGGCUUGGGAAGUUAGAGGACCUGGGUUCUAAUUCCAGCUCUGCCA
rnacentral:tRNA from 1 species